GAUGAACGCUAGCGGCAGGCUUAAUACAUGCAAGUCGAGGGGUAGCAAGAUUGUAGCAAUACAAUUGUUGACGACCGGCAAACGGGUGCGGAACACGUACACAACCUUCCUACAAGUGGGGAAUAGCCCAGAGAAAUUUGGAUUAAUACCCCGUAACAUAGCGAUGUGGCAUCACAUUGCUAUUAUAGCUUCGGCGCUUGAAGAUGGGCGUGCGACUGAUUAGGUAGUUGGCGGGGUAACGGCCCACCAAGCCUGCGAUCAGUAACUGGUGUGAGAGCACGACCAGUCACACGGGCACUGAGACACGGGCCCGACUCCUACGGGAGGCAGCAGUAAGGAAUAUUGGUCAAUGGACGCAAGUUUGAACCAGCCAUGCCGCGUGGAGGAUGGAGGUCCUCUGGAUUGUAAACUUCUUUUAUUUGGGAAGAAACCCACGGUUUCUACUGUGGUUGACGGUACCAGAUGAAUAAGCACCGGCUAACUCCGUGCCAGCCGCCGCCGUAAGAC
rnacentral:rRNA from 1 species